rnacentral:snRNA from 1 species
AUCGUUUCCCAGCCUUUUUGCUCAGAUCAAGUGUAGUAUCUGUUCUUAUCAGUUUAAUACCUGAUACGCCCUUCUAUUGGAGGACAAUGCAUUAAAUGGAUUAUUGGAGCAGAGAGAUGGAAUAGGAGCUUGCUGUCUACUGCAUGCAUCGAUCUGGUAUUGCAGUGCCUCCAGGAACCAUGCACUCCUC